CGCCUUAUGCGAUGAGCUUUCGAAUAAAAACAAAUUGCAGGAAAUCACGACCUUCCGAAAUCCGAGAAGACAAUGGUUUUAUCAGAAACUAAAAACCAGGAGGGAGUACUACCUCCAUGACAUGCCGUCCUCCUACAACCUAGUCCUCAAGAAGCUUUUUGACCAGGGCCACUUCUUCAAGUUGAUUCUGCCCAGACACGACAGGGGCCUUGUCAAUGUUUAUUUCAAGCACGGUGACUCCAUUGAUCUAAAAAACUAUGAGCUUUCAGCUGCUACCAUACCUUAUGCUUAUUCUUGCAUUUAUACGUUUGAGAUACCUGUUGAGUUGCUCGUUUGAGUAGUUCAUCAAGCUGGGGAGUUGCAGAGGCAUGGAAUCCUGGUCCAGAUACAGCAGAGUCAACAUUCAAAGAGAGAGAGAGAGAGAGACCAGUCCAUAUUCCUCAGCGUCCCAAUUGCACAACACAAUUGUUCUUCGAGGUUUCCAUCCUUUUUUUUGCAAUUUCCCCAGUCUUUCUGCAAUCUACGUGCCACUGUUGGGAUCAACGGCUCCAAAUGUCCAUGCAUCCCGAUGAUUACCCAGAAUGACAAACCUACAAAUAAUUGUAAAGUUAUGCGACUUUUCUGUUAUGCUAUGAUGAGUUACUAAAGCAUGUUGAAAUAUCUGGCCUCUUCAUACAAGAGAUGGAAUGCAACGUCUCUUGCUUUUCUAGCAUCUGCAGAACAACUUUCAGACUCAACUGGAGGAUGAAAAAAAAAAUCUAUACUGUUUGAGAUUUUUUCUCGCCGUUGGUUGAGCUCCGUGACGUUGAAAGUGGAAACAAAAUAUCCCAACGACUAGCUACUUAUGAGAGUGUUGAAAGUAUGGAUCCUUUAACUUUUUAGUUUUGUACUGUGAAUUAAUAACUCAAAAUUAUCAACUAUCAUUGUUGGAAUAUUAAUGGUAAA